CUGUCGUACCCUUUCACAUUGCUUAAUCUAUGCAUUCGACACCCCCUUGUUCAAUAAUGGAAAGGUCAGAGAAUCGAUUUUUUUCCGAAGUACGGCGGAGAGUGCCGGAAAAUUUUCCACUUCACACAUUUAAGAUCACGUGACCAUUUGAGUGUUUAUCAACAGCCAACAUUAUUUUUGGAGGGAAAGCCGUACCGAGAAGAUGGAAGGACUGGUGUUCCCUGAUAGGAAAGUAAGUUUGUUGAUUUUUACGGAUUGCGUCGAUUAAAUUCUUAAUUUAUUUUCCAGCUACCGGCCUGUGUUGUGUACCUGCUUAUUUUUACAGCCAGGUACGUACAUUUGCACGUGAUAAUUUUCUAUUAGAAAUGAUAUGCUAUUUUUAGCUGUUAUAGUGUUCAUUUAUUUAUGAUACAUAUGUUAUUUUAGGCGAUCUUUUUAGGUUUGAAAAGGGGUUGAGAAGUCGAUUUUAGAUCAAGCUGGCCAGCCGCGCGACGUUCCAUACAUCGGCGGUUUUUGUUUACAAAAUAUCUCCCGCGUGCUGUCAGAUGUAUAUUAUACAUGUACGAAUUUGGUGUAUAUAUUUCCUACCUCUCUUUACUAACAAAUAUACAAAUAAGUGAUAGUAGUAAAGUCAUUUAGUGAUAUGUAAAGUGGUACUGAAUUGUUGUUUUUUAGGGCAUUUCCUGCCAAAAUGUUUAUAGUAUUAGUGUUAUUUUAGUUGAUAUGUUAUGAAAUUAGAAAUUGGGCUGUGCUCGUCCAAUUGUUUUAAAAUGCGAUUCUGCCUGGCUUCGCGCUGCGUUUACUGGCGAUUUUAAAUGUGCAGAAAUUGCAUAAUACCUAUUUAAUAACUAUAAUUUAAAUUAUCACACCCACCUAUAAAAUAACCCUAAUGUGCUCUCCUUUUGUCCCUUCCUAUAUAAAAUGUCAAAAUGUUUAUAGAUUUCUUUUAUGUAUAAAAGUAUGUUAGUUUAAAUGAUAGAAAUGCGUUCAUGCUGGUCAAUGAUUUUAGAUGCGAGUCCGGUCAGUCUGUGUAAUCGCGCGCGUUUUUAGCUCGCCUCUUUUUUUUUGGAAAAAAAAGGUAGAGGUAUUGUUAUAGUCAGGUCAGCGUUGCCGUUGCCGUUUUGAUAUGAAUAUUUGUCUUUUAUCUUACCCACCUAUAAUAUAGCUAUAAUGUGUAUUCAUUCAUUCACCCAUUCCCCACUCUCUUUAGACCUGUUGUUUGAUGUAUAAGCCACUCCUUUUAAUGCUAUGUUUAUUACAGUUAGUUUAGUUUAGAAGUCUUGUAUAUAUUAUGAAACUGAUCAAUUAAUAUGUUUGUGUUUUAAUACCUAUAUUUUUUGUACUUGUAGAUCAGUACUUGGAAGCUCCCAGGUUCUUCAAAUUGUAAAAUUAUAAUAAUAUAUUCCCUUUGAAUAGAAGAGGUUGGAGGGUUAAAAUUAGAGUGGAUACACGAGGAUGUGGAUGGUUGUGCAAGAUUUGCAAAGUGUGUGUUGGUAUGAGGCAUGAGGCAGAAAUUGGAUCAAGGCUUUGCACCAAAUAUGAUGAUGGCUGUGUGUGUGUUGGUAUAAGGCAUGAUGGAGAAUUUGG